AAUGGAUUUGGCGGCGGAAUAAUCCAGUUAGAGGAACCUGCUCUGUAAACGAUAUUCCACGAAUUAUCCUACUUUUAUUGGUAAUCAUUUUGUAUACCGUUGUUGUUAGUUAGAUUUAUUAGGAUUAUCUUUCUUAAUUGAUUAUUCAGUUACUUCAAAUAAUGGUGCAGAUCUAUAUAAAAGAUUGAAGUGGGUUACAAUUAAAGGAUUAAUACGGAGGGUUAUAAUGUAAAAAAAUUUUGAAGGAGGAUUUAGAAGUAAAAAAAUUUUAUUUUGGCAAGAGUUUUAUUCUGUGUACACACCGCCCGUC
rnacentral:rRNA from 1 species